rnacentral:rRNA from 1 species
AUUGAACGCUGGCGGCAGGCCUAACACAUGCAAGUCGAACGAGCGGCGGAUGGGUGAGUAAUGUCUGGGAAACUGCCUGAUGGAGGGGGAUAACUACUGGAAACGGUAGCUAAUACCGCAUACCAUCAGAUGUGCCCAGAUGGGCUUAGCUAGUAGGUGGGGUAAUGGCUCACCUAGGCGACGAUCCCUAGCUGGUCUGAGAGGAUGACCAGCCACACUGGAACUGAGACACGGUCCAGACUCCUACGGGAGGCAGCAGUGGGGAAUAUUGCACAAUGGGCGCAAGCCUGAUGCAGCCAUGCCGCGUGUAUGAAGAAGGCCUUCGGGUUGUAAAGCACUUUCAGCGAGGAGGCGUUACUCGCAGAAGAAGCACCGGCGAACGCCGUGCCAGCCGCCGCGGUAAUUC